UGGGUUUAGUGUGAUGAAAAAUAUUUAUAUCCAUUUCGCGUUAAUCUGGAUCGUUCAUCGUAUUUGAUCUCGACUGUCCGAUCGCGUUUAAAGAAGAAAUGAAUCUGGACCGUUCAUCGCGAUUUGAUCUCGAUCAUCCGAUCGCGUUUAAAAAUAAAUAAAUCCAAGUCGUCCACGUGCGCAUGAUCGAUCCUGGGUCGUUCGAUCGCAGGGCACGCCUAUCGCCCCCAUGGCAUUCUGCGCGACACCAACAUCAGCGCGCCUUAC
rnacentral:lncRNA from 1 species